rnacentral:rRNA from 1 species
CCUACGGGUGGCUGCAGUGAGGAAUAUUGGUCAAUGGACGGAAGUCUGAACCAGCCAAGUCGCGUGCAGGAAGACGGCUCUAUGAGUUGUAAACUUCUUUUAUACAGGGAUAAACCUGUCCACGUGUGUUUAUUUGCAUGUACUCUAUGAAUAAGCAUCGGCUAACUCCGUGCCAGCAGCCGCGGUAAUACGGAGGAUCCGAGCGUUAUCCGGAUUUAUUGGGUUUAAAGGGUGCGUAGGUGGAUUGUUAAGUUAGAGGUGAAAUGUUGGGGCUCAACCCGAGAAUUGCCGUUGAUACUGGAAAUCUAGAGUGUAGAUGCGGUAGGCGGAAUGCGUGGUGUAGCGGUGAAAUGCUUAGAGAUCAUGCAGAACUCCGAUUGCGAAGGCAGCUUACCAAGCUAUAACUGACAUUGAGGCACGAAAGCGUGGGGAGCAAACAGGAUUAGAUACCCGUGUAGUC